UACAGAGGUCUCAAGCGUUGUUCGGAUUCAUUGGGCGUAAAGGGUGCGUAGGUGGCGCGGUAAGUCGGGUGUGAAAUCUCGGAGCUUAACUUCGAAAUUGCAUUCGAUACUGCCGUGCUUGAGGACUGGAGAGGAGACUGGAAUUCAUGGUGUAGCAGUGAAAUGCGUAGAGAUCAUGAGGAAGACCAGUGGCGAAGGCGGGUCUCUGGACAGUUCCUGACACUGAGGCACGAAGGCUAGGGGAGCAAACGGG
rnacentral:rRNA from 1 species